rnacentral:rRNA from 1 species
AUGAACGCUAGCGACAGGCUUAACACAUGCAAGUCGAGGGGCAGCACAGGUAGCAAUACCGGGUGGCGACCGGCGCACGGGUGAGUAACGCGUAUGCAACUUGCCUAUCAGAGGGGGAUAACCCGGCGAAAGUCGGACUAAUACCGCAUGAAGCAGGGGCCCCGCAUGGGGAUAUUUGCUAAAGAUUCAUCGCUGAUAGAUAGGCAUGCGUUCCAUUAGGCAGUUGGCGGGGUAACGGCCCACCAAACCGACGAUGGAUAGGGGUUCUGAGAGGAAGGUCCCCCACAUUGGUACUGAGACACGGACCAAACUCCUACGGGAGGCAGCAGUGAGGAAUAUUGGUCAAUGGGCGUAAGCCUGAACCAGCCAAGUCGCGUGAGGGAUGAAGGUUCUAUGGAUCGUAAACCUCUUUUAUAAGGGAAUAAAGUGCGGGACGUGUCCCGUUUUGUAUGUACCUUAUGAAUAAGGAUCGGCUAACUCCGUGCCAGCAGCCGCGGUAAUACGGAGGAUCCGAGCGUUAUCCGGAUUUAUUGGGUUUAAAGGGUGCGUAGGCGGCCUUUUAAGUCAGCGGUGAAAGUCUGUGGCUCAACCAUAGAAUUGCCGUUGAAACUGGGGGGCUUGAGUAUGUUUGAGGCAGGCGGAAUGCGUGGUGUAGCGGUGAAAUGCAUAGAUAUCACGCAGAACCCCGAUUGCGAAGGCAGCCUGCCAAGCCAUUACUGACGCUGAUGCACGAAAGCGUGGGGAUCAAACAGGAUUAGAUACCCUGGUAGUCCACGCUGUAAACGAUGGAUACUAGGUGUGCGGGGACUGACCCCCUGCGUGCCGCAGUUAACACAAUAAGUAUCCCACCUGGGGAGUACGCCGGCAACGGUGAAACUCAAAGGAAUUGACGGGGGCCCGCACAAGCGGAGGAACAUGUGGUUUAAUUCGAUGAUACGCGAGGAACCUUACCCGGGUUUGAACGCAUUCGGACCGAGGUGGAAACACCUUUUCUAGCAAUAGCCGUUUGCGAGGUGCUGCAUGGUUGUCGUCAGCUCGUGCCGUGAGGUGUCGGCUUAAGUGCCAUAACGAGCGCAACCCUUGCCACUAGUUACUAACAGGUGAUGCUGAGGACUCUGGUGGGACUGCCAGCGUAAGCUGCGAGGAAGGCGGGGAUGACGUCAAAUCAGCACGGCCCUUACAUCCGGGGCGACACACGUGUUACAAUGGCGUGGACAAAGGGAGGCCACCUGGCGACAGGGAGCGAAUCCCCAAACCACGUCUCAGUUCGGAUCGGAGUCUGCAACCCGACUCCGUGAAGCUGGAUUCGCUAGUAAUCGCGCAUCAGCCAUGGCGCGGUGAAUACGUUCCCGGGCCUUGUACACACCGCCCGUCAAGCCAUGGGAGCCGGGGGUACCUGAAGUCCGUAACCGAAAGGAUCGGCCUAGGGUAAAACUGGUGACUGGGGCU